AGUCCCCCAAUCCCAGAGAGCGUCAAAUGAAGAGAGGUACCGACUCCUGUCCCACCCAGGACGCAGCCUUCAGCCUCCAGCCUUCUGAGGCAGAGUAGGCAUUUCUGCACGUCUGCAAAAGGAAGGGAGGGAAGCACUCCAUCAUCUCACUGGGAAGAACGGCACGGGCAUACCUGCAGCAACUGGGGUUCCAUUGGGCUUGAGGGUCGAUUUUUCACCUUUUGAAGGACAAGAUGCAUUGGAAGAUGUUGCUGCUUCUGCUGUUGUAUUACAAUGCUGAGGCUUCUAUGUGCCACAGGUGGAGCAGGGCUGUGCUCUUCCCUGCCGCCCACCGGCCAAAGAGGUCCUCAUCACUGCCAUUGAACCCAGUCCUGCAGACCUCCCUGGAGGAGGUGGAGCUGCUCUACGAGGAGAAAUUCCAGAGUUCAACUGCAGCUAAGACCUCGUCACUGAACUUGUCAACUUCUUCCCCGCCCUCCCACCUCCUCCUUUUGUACCAGCCAAAGGUCUUCGGUUUCCUUUUUGGAGAGCCCCAGAGAGAAGCAUUUGAGCACCUACUUUAGCCAGAGAGACCACUGACAUCUGGGCAUGAGACUGGCAUCUAGACUUUGCCAGGGAGGCAGCUAUACUUCCCAAAAGAUCUGGGGUCUUUCUCACAGGCUCAUACCCUCUGCUGGCCUAGACCCUUUAUAUUCCCCCCUCGGUGCUGAGGCAAACGAUCUUUGCCAGCAGGGAGGUCUGAAAGGCUUAACUUUGUACACUUCUGAGGCAAAUUCUCCAGAAGCAAUGUUGCAUUUUCUCCCUGCCACCAGGCACAUUCCCUUCCCAAGGUCUAGAUCAGCAGGUGGCCCUCCCAGCGAAAGCUCUUUGUCCUAUGAUCCGAAACAAUAAAGCUGUGCUUGGGUACGUGAGAUUAUGUUUACGAUGAUGGUCAUCACUCCAGCCCUAGGAAGUUUGAGAAACUGAAAAAUAAGCUUAGCAGGCUGCCUAGGUUCUGCGGAAUCAGCAGGCCCCCGCUGUGACCAAUCAAGAGCGGCCGCGGGG
rnacentral:sRNA from 1 species